rnacentral:rRNA from 1 species
UACGGAGGGAGCUAGCGUUGUUCGGAAUUACUGGGCGUAAAGCGCACGUAGGCGGCGAUUCAAGUCAGAGGUGAAAGCCCGGGGCUCAACCCCGGAACUGCCUUUGAAACUAGAUUGCUAGAAUCCUGGAGAGGCGAGUGGAAUUCCGAGUGUAGAGGUGAAAUUCGUAGAUAUUCGGAAGAACACCAGUGGCGAAGGCGACUCGCUGGACAGGUAUUGACGCUGAAGUGCGAAAGCGUGGGGAGCAAACAGG